rnacentral:rRNA from 1 species
UGGUAGGAUAGAGGCCUACCAUGGUGGUAACGGGUAACGGGGUGUUAGGGCACGACACCGGAGAGGGAGCCUGAGAAACGGCUACCACAUCCAAGGAUGGCAGCAGGCGCGCAAAUUACCCAAUCCCGACACGGGGAGGUAGUGACAAUAAAUAACAAUACGGGGUUCUUUAGGAUCUCGUAAUUGGAAUGAGUACAAUUUAAAUCUCUUAACGAGGAACAAUUGGAGGGCAAGUCUGGUGCCAGCAGCCGCGGUAAUUCCAGCUCCAAUAGCGUAUAUUAAAGUUGUUGCAGUUAAAAAGCUCGUAGUUGAAUUUCGGGGUUAGUAGGUUGGUCAUGCCUCUGGUAUGUACUGGUCUCACUGAUUCCUCCUUCCUUAUGAACCGUAAUGCCAUUAAUUUGGUGUUGCGGGGAAUUUGGACUGUUACUUUGAAAAAAUUAGAGUGUUUAAAGCAAGCUAACGCUUGAAUACAUUAGCAUGGAAUAAUGAAAUAGGACGUUCGAUCUUAUUUUGUUGGUUUCUAGGAUUGACGUAAUGAUUAAUAGGGAUAGUUGGGGGCAUUAGUAUUCAAUUGUCAGAGGUGAAAUUCUUGGAUUUAUUGAAGACUAACUACUGCGAAAGCAUUUGCCAAGGAUGUUUUCAUUAAUCAAGAACGNNAAAGUUAGGGGAUCGAAGACGAUCAGAUACCGUCGUAGUCUUAACCAUAAACUAUGCCGACUAGGGAUC